UACAGAGGGUGCGAGCGUUGUCCGGAAUCACUGGGCGUAAAGGGCGCGUAGGUGGUGGCUUAAGCGUGCGGUGAAAGCCCGGGGCUCAACCCCGGGUCGGCCGUGCGAACUGUCGAGCUGGAGCACUGUAGAGGCAGGUGGAAUUCCGGGUGUAGCGGUGGAAUGCGUAGAGAUCCGGAAGAACACCGGUGGCGAAGGCGGCCUGCUGGGCAGUGGCUGACGCUGAGGCGCGGCAGCGUGGGGAGCAAACAGG
rnacentral:rRNA from 1 species